CCAACUAUGCCACUCGACUCGGUCUUGAGUCAAUUCAUAAUGAAUACAAGAUCCACUUUCCAAUUCAUGAUUCCUUUUUGUUCUUUGUUCUUUAAUCUCACGGCUAACCCGGGGGUUUCGCCACAUUAACUUGCUUCACAUUAAGUCCAUCAUCGCAGGAACUCACCAGCUAGGACCGUCCUUAGGGGUCUACUCCAACCCGGAUGCCAAACUCCGGAGCGCAUCGCCCGAGGGGGAGCGACCGCCCUCGAGCACGGAACUCAUAGCAAGUAUGAUCAAUCCUUAACUCUAAGGAUAUGUAGUUGGAUCAUGGUUUUACACUAACUCUAGUGUUCUUUACAUCACUUUAUGUUGCCACUCUAGCAAUCAUUGUUCUUUACAUCUCUUUUACUUUUGCUAACUCUAGCAAUCACGUUUUUCACAUUCCUUUACUUUAAGCUAUCUUUAGCUUUCACAUUCUUUAACUUUACACGUUCUUUAUGCCACAUUACAUUACAUUGUCUUUAGCCAUUAUCAUUAUUCUUUACAUCACAUUGCUUUGCCUUGUCUCAAGCCAUUAUCAUUAGGUUCUCACAUUACAUCUCAUGCAUACACAUAGAUUAUUUAGAUUCUUAAUCAUUCUAAUAAGCACGUGUACUCACAUCAUGCAACAUUACAUUAUUAUCAUCACAUUGUUUUACAUUAUCUUUAGCCAUUAUCAUUGUUCUUUACAUCACAUUUAUUCUUUGAUGUCCCACACUAACUCUAGUGUCCACUUUACCAUUUCGAAUGCCACUCGAUCUAUGUUCAACAUGCAUAUAUUUUGUCAUCCAUUGGUAGUCAUUACUUAGCAUUUUAUGCAUUCGUUAACAUUUACUACAUGCAUUCUCGGUUAGUACAAAUCUCAUACUUUCAUUUGACAUCUAUUUAGCAUUUCUAUAAUAUGCACAUAUAAAUUAACAUCAACUCAUGCAUUCAUUUGGCAUCUAUCUUUAUCAUGCAUUCUUAAAUAACAUACUUUAUCAUGCAUCAAUAGUAAAUAUACUACACUUUGGCACAAAAAGCGACCUAAUCACUUCGGUGAGCACAACCCACCUCAACACGCUUUCCGAUUGCUUGUCGACACUUGCAAUCGGCCUCCCGCGGCACCCGUAACCCGGUUUCGCCCGAUCUUUUGCGCGACCACCUGAACGGCCACCAAUCCAUGAUCCAUCUGUUCGGGAGUUUAUUCCCCGACACCACGAUGCUCCCGAUCCAUUUUCAUGAUUUUUGGAGGCUUAUCCCGCGUGCUGCAGCUAUCUGUACCAAAACAUACUGUUUCGUCAAUAACUUCGCGUACACUCGUCGGAUUGUCGAACCGAGCGCACCAAUGCGUUCGUUAUACCCCCAAUUAGGUUUAUAUAGGGUCAAUUGAGAUCAAACUCAACUAUUUACAAAAACCCCUUUUUGUAGCCCUAAAUGCUACUCUAGCAAAAUCCUCCAUUUCGUCUCAUGAAUCAAGCAUGGUUCAUCUAUUUAGCAUGUUAGGAUUCCAUUAAAAUCAUCUUUAGAGUAUAAGAACUUAACCCUAAAGAUCUACCAUUAAAGCUUCAAGAAGCUUACCUCUCUAGGUUUGCUCCAAGGUGAAGAAGAAGAUGAUGGAGGGAAGCUCUCCACUUGCUUCACCUUCUUUUCCCCUUUCUUCUUCUUCUUUCUCUUCUUCUUCUUCUCUUCUCCUUUCCUUUCUAGAGAGAGAGAGAGGAGGCUUUGGGUGUGAUACGGUGAGGGAGAGGGAGAGAGAGAGGUUCUAAUCCUCUCUUUACUCAUAACCCAUGCACAAAAUGCCAAUAAGUCCCUCAACAAUGCUUCUCUCGCAACAGCCCGAACUGGGCAUUUUCGGGGUUCGGGGACCGGUCAUUGCGACGAGAGACCGGUCCCUGAGAGACCGGUCCUUGACUGAGAGACCGGUCCCCGAAGGUCCAGAAAUCAGCCUUCAAGGACUUAGCCAAAUUUUCAGCUUUUUCACCGUUUUCGCUCCGUUUUCACUCGUUUUCGCUCGUUUGACAUCAGAUUCAUUUCAAAUCGAACCGAGACUCUCCAAACAUGUUUUUAAGCAUGUUUUCAUCAUCUUUUCAUCCACGCUAAUGCCGGAUUUAGUCCAUGGUCCAACAUAGCCUUUCGGGUCCCGUUUUCGCGCCCUAUGCGCACCGAAGCACCCGAAUGUUCCCGAACUUCGCCGGAAUGAUUCCAAUGGCUUUCUAAGCUAACAUACAUCGUAACUUCAUAAAUUAGAAGUUUGGUAUAUUACAUUCUCCACCUCUUAAAAAGAGUUCCGUCCGCGAAACUCAAACCACACCUCAAUUCAGCUCCUCGAGCAAUUGAGGGCACUAAUGCACUUUUCUACUUCGGAAGGGCUUUACACUCUUUGGAACUAUCCAAGAGGACUACUACGGAGCUCAUGAUACCAAACGCAUCCAACUUUGCAAGGCACAUCUCACAAAGUGCAUUAGGGUAUCCAUCUGUAAUACACUGAAUUUUUGCAAAUUGCGGAGUUCGAGUGUGUGGAUUGAUGUGUGGAACUCUUCUACAUGUUCUAUUAGCCUUGGACAAGUUUUUGAACAAGUUAGAGAGUGGUUGGAGGGUUAAAAGCAAGAAAGUGCAUUGAACUGGUGAAAAUCAGCAUUUUCUGCUUGCUGUACCGGUACAGCCAUCACCUUGUACCGGUACAAGCUGGCAGAUUCGUGGCAGCAAGGCUAUUUUGGUCAUUUCACAUCUUGUUCUCAGCUAUUUGAUCCCAGCACGACUUCUGGAGCUUGCUGGAGUGUGCUGGAGCUCAGAGAAAGGUUCUCCCACCUUCCUCACUCUCUCUCUCUAGGGUUUUUCUCUCCUAGAGAACAAGUCGCCAGUUUUGGGCCCUGCAAUUUCGCGCCGUACCGUCGUCCUCGCGCUGGUGGUGGACUAAGCCAUCUUUUAAAAAGAAAACAUUUUUGACUGUGUUUCCAUGUUUAAUAGCUCGGGUGUUGCUGAAAGAACUUUAAGAAGUCCUGUGCUCAACUUUUGCUCUAUUCUAGGUUUGCGAUUUGAUGUAAUCUGUUCCGUGAUCAGCAGAGUUUGUGCGGGUCUCCUGCAGCUAUAGAAGGACGAUAGUCUAAGCUGUUGAUUACCCCCACUUUGACCAGGGAGAAAGUGGCCUUCGAGGUCUGAGAAUUAAGUAUGUAGCUCCACUAAUGAUAGCUAUUCGAAUAUUGCGCACGUAAUCGAUAAGUGAUGUAAGUUUGACUGUUCCCGCAGCAGUUCUCGAACCUCCUUGGGGGGGGUAGGGGGGGGGGUUGGGUUACAGUUGGGGUACCAGGGAGUAGCUUGGAAGGUACCCCCACUAAAGGUACUGGAUUUCAGUUAGAAAACUGAAUUCGCAAUGUUUCCGACUAUAAUUUAGAAUUGACACUCUUGUGCCGUUUGGUAAAUAGUUCUGCAUCGGCUUGCAACGACCUUCGGUAUUACCUCCGGCUGAUACGUGAGGAGUGCAAGCUUAACUUGAUAUUUAUUGCGCCAAAAUAGGGAUUCAGAAUAUUACAAUGUACUAAAGCAAUCAAGUACGAAAUUGGACAUUUCAUCGGUCAAUUUGAUACAUAUCUAUACCUUCUGUUCAGCAGGAUUGCAGACCACUUAGUGGAGCAGAACUUGGACUCUUGGACGAUUGGAGCAUAUACGACUGGGUCGGACCUAACCAGAGCAAGUGAAACUCCUCUAUGUUCUAUAUGUAUUAAGAAAUGGUUAUUGGCUUAUGUAUUGAUAAAAGGGCUUGACAUUCGUUACAUCAUAAUGUUGAAAUUCGAACCCAAUAAUCUCUAUCAAGUAGAAGAACACAUUGAUACAAUAAAGAUAUUUACAUUAUAAGCAAUUCCAGUUGAAAUGAUUAAUGAACAAUGUAGAUGCACUUUAAAGAAGAACAAUGACAUUCUCUUACCAACGUAAAGAACUAGACAUGUUCAAUGGAUCUAUGUUGAAUUGCCAUACUUAGUGAUAGACUAUAGUGCCAUCUGACUUAGGCAUUACGCUACUUACAUGUUUACAAUUCUAGUGGAUACUACUCUUGUUAGCUAUUUAUGUGAUGAAUAUCCGAUCUUGAGGGUCCGAGGUGUAAGAACUUUUAGCAAUAGAAAAUAUGAAAAUGAGACAUGUGUCAUGACUUGUUGGUUGUCUUGCCAAUCGUGCCAUUCUGCACACGGUUGUGAGUGGCCUUCCCUGCAAGCCGGCCUCCGAGUUGGCCUAAGCGCGACAGUUGCUCGCCGUGCGGGAUUGGUGGCCAGAAGUGAUUGCCGUGGGAGUGUAUCUUACCACGGGUCAUUAGGCGCGGCAAAGCUGGACUACGCUUGGGUAUGUCCCUUAAUGAAAGGACAUAAUGAAAUCUUAUAAUUAAAGUUGUACAGUAGUUCACUUAUAUGUUCUGGCUUAUUCAUGAGUCAAUAUUCAUCCGAUACAUAGAGUUGCCAUAUCCACUAUUAUUGCUAUAAUGGAUUCAUUACUGUAAUAAAGUUAUUACAGUUAUACAUGUUGUUUACAUGAAUAUUAAUUGCUCUCGGCAAUGGGAUAAUUACUCACUAUCUGUUAGCAGAUUAGCUAUACUUAUAAUCAUGGGCAGUUACGCUUUUCUUUAAUUUCAGUACAUCAUUGAGCCUGGUGGUGUAAUUCCUGAGGCUGCGGCUUACCCACUGGAACUAUUGUACAUAGUUCUCUACGCGCCUUUUGGUGUGUUUUUAGCAAGCGCAUCUACAAGAGCACGCUGAUCGGGCAAGGGAUAGUCCGCUUCUAGCAGACUUUGCUAGGAGCAUGUCUAUCGAUCACCUUGCUAACUUCGGGCUUCGACAGCGAAUGGAGUCCAUUGUACUAUAAGUGACCUACCAUUGUAUCAGAUACUUUUUGUAUACCCAGUGUUGUAUAUGGUUGUGUGAUUACCCGGAUGUUUAUUAGUUCAUACUCUUCUCCUUUGCUGAGACUUUGGUUUAUGCUACUCUUUUGUUCUUUACUGAUCAGUAUAUUCGACUUUUUGUACAUUGCUCUGAAUCAGCGACGAGAGUCUCUUUGUUUUAACUCCCUAUCAUAACUUGCUUCUUCGUAGACUGCCUUAUAUUACAGCAGGUGUAAUGGCGGUCUGUGCACACGUGCGGAUAUUCUUCCGCUGGUACCGGCGUGACAACCCUAUAAUGCAAAACGGUGCCGAUAUUAACUUUGUACAUAGACUAUACGCUAUCAAUUUUCGUAAUGUUAAACAAGUUGGCCAACUGUUAGGCACCCCCCAAUUAGGUUUCCACGGGGUCAAAUUUGUCCCCUGAAAAAUCCUAGCAAAAGCCCAAAAUCAAGCCUAAAUGUUCAUUUAGGAUUUCCCAUGAAUCGUCCCAACCUAACAAAACAAUAGCUUAAUCAUCUUAAAAAGAUCCUAGGAAGUGUUCAUAAACCCUUGGAACCAACCCUAGGCUUCCAAUGACAACACCCUAACUCCCACUCAUUGAGAGCACUUUAGCCUCAUGGUCAUGGAGUCAAGAUAACAGAAGGCCCUAUGGCCAAAAAACCCCAAGCUCCAAAACAUAGGAUUUAAACCAUAAGCCAUAGACUCAUUUCUACGAAAAACUCACCUUAGUCCAAGCCCACUCAAAGAGUCUCUUCUUGUAGGAACUUGUAGAACCCAUUUCCAAACGCCUCCAAAAUCCAACCUUCCCAUUGCUUCUUCUUCUCUUACCCAAGCCCUAAGCAAAGUUUAGAAGAAGAAGAGAAAUGGGAAGAGUGAAAAUGCUGUUGGGAGAGAAGGGUGUCCAACAUAUAGUGUUGUAAAAUUGCAUUUAAACCCCUCAACUUGUUUCCCUCUUGAACUGCCCAGACUAGGCGUUUUCGCCUUCGGGACCGUCUCUCUCGACUAGGGACCUGGUUCCGAACGUGGGUGUUCCAGAGACUUAGCACAAAUUAUUUCGGGUUUUCGGGCUGUUCGCACGAGGAAAACCAGUCUCUACCCUUCAGGGACGGGUCUCCGAGGACCGGUCUCACCCACCAGGGACACGUCCAAGACUUCCUGAAGGCUACGUUGUACGGUACGCAGUCUCUCACUUCAGGACGGUCCCUCGAAGCUACAAAAUCUGGACUAUAACCAAGAUUUUCGAUUCUCUCCUCUCGGUCCCUUUUGGCUUCUCCUAUGAAGCCCUAAUCUGGCCUCAGGGCCAUUAUCUAAACUUGUUUCAAAUCUUCCGCGUUCGCUCGUUUUGACGGAAUCAGGCACGAUUCUAGAGGGAUUGAUGGUAUGUUCAAAAAGCUCAAAUGGAAACAGCCAAUCCCUCAUCCUAAAAAGCAACCUAAUUCAAGUUCUAAACCCCCAUCAAUAAGCUCUAAAACUUCUAAUCAAAAGACCCGCAAACAUAAUCCCUAUUCCAAAUCUAGGGUUUAUCCAAACAUUAAAAAUCCAUCAAACCACAGUAGUAAAGGAAAAUACAAUGCUACUAACUCUAAGUAGCCCAAACCAAGUCAAAAAUUAGCUAGGUUUAAGAUCUCCUCUAAACAAGCCCUCCAAACCUCCAAUCUUCAACAUAGAGAAACCAAACAACUAGCAAAAAGGAAAAAAAAAUGGAGAGAUACAAAUACACAUAAAAUCCACCAAAAGAGAUCAACAAGGGAGGAGACUACCUUGAUCUCCACGCUUAGGCUCAAAAAGAGCAAGCAAUGGGAUGUGGUAACAUAUUUAAGAGGUGCAGACAAUAAAUACACCCCCCCCAGAACUCACCCAGUCUGCCAUGGUACGGCGUACAGUCGGAAAGUUACCCGGUACACUUCUUCGAAAGCUGCGCAGCAACCCAGCCUGGUUGGCAAAAAAUCCGAAGUGUACCGGUAACCAGAUCGAGCUGUACCGAAUACAUUGCAUUCCGGUACACACCACAAGGGUGUACCUAUACACUAAUCCUGUAGAGGCAACCGAGAGCACACCAACAAUCUAUAUUUGGGAUUUGGUACAAGCUUAAACCGCACAAUUCUCGAUGCGAGUCAUAUCGAACCAUGUCUACGACCCUCAGAAUAUCGGAAAAGCUCAGAACACAGAUCAAACACCGAACCUCGCAAUUUCCAAAGUCCAGUGCGUUCACAAUAUCUCGACAAAAACUCAUACACUCCUGACUGUGCAAAAUAUCCCUCAGCUAUUACCUCAGAGGCUAUACGUACAUCAACUUGAGAUUUAAAAAAGAAACUCUAAAUAGUUCGAAACAUAAUAAUUAAAACUAACAAAAAAAACAGGCAUAUAGGUCUUUAAGAAUAAUAAUGUGAAAACUUUGAAUUAUAAAUUUCUAACCUCAUCAUGGAUCAUCCAACUAUGAACCGGUCUGUCAUUUUGCUUCCAUAUCAAAGUGUGUGACCGAAAUGGACCAUAAUCGUAAAAAAUAUGGGGAAUGAUUCUUUCAAAUGCAUAAGUAUCCACACAUCGUGUUGAUAGCUUCGAGAUUCUAAGAUGCUCAAGCCUGGAACAUUUCAAGGUUUAGAACAUACUCCGCAAAAAAUACAACAUUAAAUCAAUAAAGGGCAACUACUACCUUCGGCCAAGCACCAUGCAAUCUAACGACAAGUACGUUGCACAGAAUAUGAAUCAGGGCUUUCAAUCCUGUAACUUAUUGCUGCUUGAGUUGAAUACACUUCUUGAAAUAUUUUUGAUGAGUAACCAUCUAGUUACCUUGCAUCUUUAAACUUUUGGAUCUUCAAUCCCAUCUUUGGAGACAUAACGAAAACAAGCUGGUGGUAAUAUAUCUUAUUGAAUCAACAUGUUGAAGUGAAGUUUACAUGUCGUAUACCAGAUUCUGUAGAUCACAUCGUGCUCCAAAGUAUCUUUAGUUUUACUCAUCAAGAUUUGAAGAAUACAAAAAAAAGAAGAAGAAGAAAAAAAAAAGUAGAAAAAGAAAAAUUUAAUAAUGUGUAUUGAGAGAUCUCUGGCACUAAGGUGCAUUGGAGAAAAUUGAGUUCAAAUUUUUGAACGUGGGCAUAAUUUACAAUCUAGCACUAGGUUCAUAGACUUGUUGCCAAAAAAAGAAAGAGAAAUGUCUCGUAGCAUGCAUGGUUUACAAUACAAAUUAUCCUUUCCCUUUUCACUAUAUUGCAAAUGCCCAACUCAAGCAUAUAAUAUUUUUUUAUUUAACUAAAGCAUAAUAAAAGCAAAAGUAAAGGUUGAUUUUUUUAUUCUAAUUACGCGAUGAUCCCUAUCGUAACUUCCCACCUCUCCUACUGCCCACAACCGCCACCAUAUGCCACAUGUCCCUAUAAAAACACAAAGAAAAAGAAAAGUCCCAGGAAGUACGACUGGUCUCCAUAAAUAUCAUCUCAUGAGAACAGGAAAAAGGGGGACUUGUUUUGUAACUCUAAAAAACCUAUCCCUAACAAAAAAAAAUCCCACUACUUCUGUCUACUAAAGAAAAAGAAAGGUAAUAAUAAAUAUGUUUCUCUUACUCCAUUUGAUUUGGUCACAAUCAAAAGCUCUUUCUCUUCUCCUAACCGUGACAAAAAAAAAAACUCCUGCUGUUCUCGACCUCACAACAUGGCGACACCGCUCGCGCCAUGCGCGGCUGCCGACCUCCGCCGCGUCUCUCGCAGGAAUCGUCCUUCGACCGUGCACCAGAGUCAUCCUCAACGGUGCCCGCCUCCGCUCAGCUGUGUUCAAGCCACCCGCAAGGCUGUGGAGUCCCACCGACUGCACCUGCGCGGGGCGCACCUCCGUCGUGCGCGUCCCCCCCACACCGCCUCGUCGGUACCGUGAUAUGGCGACCCAUCGAGUUCAGCCUGCCGCCUCCUCGACGGGUCGUACCUCGUCUUCGUUGCGCCCGCAAGCGCACCGCCUGUGUUGGCGGCACGCCGACCUUGCCUCGUCCUCACCCUCACUUCAUCGCCUAACAGCCCGCCAUCCACGCCACCGCCUCCAGAUCGAUGCGAGCCCUACCAACAUCUGUGGCGGCAUCCUCUACUUCCUCUGCCCUCUCACUCCCUACGUUCUUGACAUUGCCGCUCCUCGUCACGCUCACCAGGUGUUCGUCUACGUCCGUCAAUGACAAACGCUUUCUUUAAAAAGACCGGUUUCUAAUUUACCCUCUCCUGACAGCACCCGUGCAUCUCGCGCACCCCAGUGAUCUUGAUCGCCUCUGCCACGACGAAGACGAUAGCAUUCUGCACACGCAGCUACGUGGCGAGACGCGCGCUACACCGCGUGAGCCGCUGUCGACCGCGGAGCUUCGCGUGUAAGGCGCACUAUGUCUAACUCUGCAGGCGCUGGCAGGUCGGCGGCGGUCAACUUGCCGAAAUCGUAAGGGAGCAUCGGUCCAUGGCUGUAAGCGCUUCAAACGGACGCACUCGGCUGCAGGCAUGGCGGCCCCAGCUGCCGAAAGGUACUGGCAUGAACGUCCGCUAGUCGUGCCACGCACAGCCUAUGGAUCGGCGGCGGACAAAGGCGCUGCAGAAUGCACUGCGUAUUGGUGCGCCGCGGGGACGCCUGCGGACAUCCAACAACGACUUCUCGGCCGCCGCGACAGACUCGUUUCUAUUCGAGUUCCCUGGACGUCGACGCUCGACCCUCGCUAAACAGCAUGACCUAAUCUCAGCAGGACUCAGUUCAGCAACCCUCAAACCUCACUACCGUCCAACUCAAGAUCUUCAAUCUCAAGAUACAAGAGCGAUUACCAACCGCUACUACCGAGUCAAGCCGGGCAAGCGAAGGAGGCCGCCGAGAACACCCCUGCCGCUCGCUUACAAAGCCGUUCAGGAUAUACUCUGACGGAGCUUCAACCUGACCGAUAUCAUGCAUACCAAUUGUUGAUGAAAUGCUAAGAUUGUAUAUAUGACGGGAACCCAAUCUGUAACAAAAGAAGAGCGUGCCUUCUUCUCUUAUAAAAAAUGGUCUAUCAAAAGAGAAUGAGCGGUGCUCUUCUUAUAAAAAAUACUGAAUCAUCGAAAAACGGAGAGAGCGGCUCUUCUCUUUGCAAAAAUAAAAAACAAAAAAAAAAAAAAUUAUCAAAAGAGAGAAAAGAUACUUUCUAUUAAUAAGUAGAGAGAGGGGCUUGUACAAAAAGUAGCAAGAAGGGAUUUUCCCACCUAAUUUCCCAUAAUUAAAAGAGACAAAGAAUAAAUUCUAUCUUGUGUCCUGUAUUCAAGGAGAUAAAAAAUAUUGUUCUCUUUUCUCCUAUAAUGAGAGACAAAAAAGGAAUAAUACAUAUCGCGUUAACUCAAAUUUAAUGAUUCUUUGAUCGUCUUUAUUAGAAGAACAAUGGAAUGUUCGAAAAUAAUCGAGCCCUUUGUUCUAUCCAAAGUCGAACUUUCGAUUGGCCAAAUAGACCAAUGAGAUUUUUAUCGCAUUGGAAUUUUAUGUGAUUAUGACUAAUUGAAUAAAUAAAAAAAAAUGCACGUCGAAAUUUUAAGUAAUGAAUUGAUUCUGAUCUAUACAUUUAAAUAUUGAUCUCAUAUGAAUCCAAAAUUAACUACCUCAAAACAAUGGAUCGAGUCUAUACCCACCUCAAUUACACAACUCGUCCAGCCCAAAUGUGAACACAUAACUGCAGGUUCAGCUCAAACAUAAAUUUGGGCCCAAUCUAAUAGCUGCCCUAAAGAAAACUGACUAAGCAUGCGGGGCCUAAACUGACCCAAGCCCAAUCCAGAUUUAAUUCAAUUCAGACCUCAACCAUAUGGGCUUAAAUCUACGUCCAUCACUGAAAUCAUAUUAUAUGGGCUGCCGAAUUUGGACAAUCUUGAAUCCACAGCAGAAUUGAACCUAAGCCAUGGAUUCCUUCACUAGGGACUAGCACAAAUCUCGAAAUAUUUAACCUAAAUCAGAAUUUGAAUUUGCUAUCAAUCAAAUCCACCUCUUGAACCUAAGCCAAUACCUAGGUACAACCGCAAUAUGAAACUAAGUCUUACAACUUUUUUUAAUCAAUUUCUUCUAGCACAUAAGGCUUAGAUAAUAUUGUUUACAUCAUCAUGUUAGAUCAAAUCAAAUAUCAUAAAUUAGGGUUUACCCCUAAUCAAAAAAAAAAAAAAAAUUAUUGAACUCUAAUAAUGUUGACUUAGAGUUCAAACAAAUGAAAUUGAAUUAGACCUCAAAACAUACACUUAGAUUUAAUUUUAAUUAAAUUAUGAACUUAUAGUUUAAUAUAUAUAAUUAGGAUUUGAUUGAUAUUUCACCUCCUGGUGGAAGCGAAAUGAAACUGAAUUAGAACUCUAAUACAUACCACCUUAGAGGUUAAUUUAAUCAAAUUUGACUAAUCCUAAUAUAUAUAAUAGGAUUAGUUAAUAUUUCACCCUUAUGAGUCGAACCAAAUGAAGACAUUUUAAGCUCUCACAAUAUAAGCAAGUAUAUCUUAAUUACAUUGGACUUUGAGAUAUUAAAUUGGCAGUCUAAUUUUAAAAAUAUUUAGCUGCUCAAUCUAACACAUACAUUUAGGAUGAAGGCUUAAAAUUAAUAUCAAAUCAAAUCCAUGCGACUUAUUCACAUAUAUUUAAAGUUCAAUUAACAAAUUAAAACUUAAUUCUUAAUUAAGAGUUUAAUUGGAUCGUCAAAUCUGAUUUAAUCACCAAAUGUAUAUACAUUGGAAUUUAAUCAACCUUUCAUCAUUAGGUAACUAAUAUUGUUGAAGCAUUGAAAAUAUACGAGCCAACCAAUAAAUUUGAUCAUACACUUUGAUAUCUCGAAAUAUUUACAACUUUUGUUGCCACACACUAACUCUAGUGUGCUUCAUGUCACAUUGGUUGCUAACUCUAGCCAUUAUCAUUGUUCUUUACACUUUGCUUGUUCUUUAUGCCACAUUACUUUACAUCGCCUCUAGCCAUUAUCAUUAUUCUUUACAUCACAUUGCUUUGCCUUGUCUCAAGCCAUUAUCAUUAGGUUCUCACAUUACAUCUCAUGCAUACACAUAGAUUAUUUAGAUUCUUAAUCAUUCUAAUAAGCACGUGUACUCACAUCAUGCAACAUUACAUUAUUAUCAUCACAUUGUUUUACAUUAUCUUUAGCCAUUAUCAUUAUUCUUUACAUCACAUUUAUUCUUUGUUGUCCCACACUAACUCUAGUGUCCACUUUACCAUUUCGAAUGCCACUCGAUCUAUGUUCAACAUGCAUAUAUUUUGUCAUCCAUUGGUAGUCAUUACUUAGCAUUUUAUACAUUCGUUAACAUUUACUACAUGCAUUCUCGGUUAGUACAAAUCUCAUACUUUCAUUUGACAUCUAAUUAGCAUUUCUAUAAUAUGCACAUGUAAAUUAACAUCAACUCAUGCAUUCAUUUGGCAUCUAUCUUUAUCAUGCAUUCUUAAAUAACAUACUUUAUCAUGCAUCAAUAGUAAAUAUACUACACUUU
rnacentral:lncRNA from 1 species